GACGUAGGGGGCAAGCGUUGUCCGGAUUCACUGGGCGUAAAGGGCGUGUAGGCGGUUGCGUAAGUCCGGCGUGAAAACUCACGGCUCAACUGUGAACCUGUGUCGGAUACUGCGCUGACUAGAGGACGGUAGAGGCAGGUGGAACUAUCGGUGUAGCGGUGAAAUGCGCAGGUAUCGCUAGGAACGCCGGUGGCGAAGGCGAUCUGCUGGGCCGUUCCUGACGCUGAGGCGCGAAAGCUGGGGGAGCGAACCGG
rnacentral:misc_RNA from 1 species